AAAAACAUCGCCUCUUGACAAACAUAAGAGGUCCAGCCUGCCCAGUGACAAAGUUUAACGGCCGCGGUACCCUAACCGUGCAAAGGUAGCGCAAUCACUUGUUCCCUAAAUAGGGACUAGUAUGAACGGCAUCACGAGGGUUAUUCUGUCUCCCCCUUUUAAUCAGUGAAACUGACCUCCCCGUGAAGAGGCGGGGAUAAAAAUAUAAGACGAGAAGACCCCAUGGAGCUUUAAACUAAGUACUAAUUGCUUUACCAAUGCCUUUAUAACUUAGCAACUGUAGAAACUAGUUUUUGGUUGGGGUGACCGCGGAGCAAAACAUAACCUCCACGAUGAAUGAGCCUAAUACUCUGAUUACUAGAGCCACAACUCAAACAAGCAACAAAUUGACAUAUUUGAUCCAAUUAAUUUUGAUCAACGAACCAAGUUACCCUGGGGAUAACAGCGCAAUCCACUUCAAGAGCUCUUAUCGACAAGUGGGUUUACGACCUCGAUGUUGGAUCAGGGUAUCCAAGUGGUGCAACCGCUACUAAAGGUUCGUUUGUUCAACGAUUAAAACCCUACGUGAUCUGAG
rnacentral:rRNA from 1 species